UGUAGGUGGGCCCCACCUAGCAAUGACCUAGCCUGGGAUAUUUUGGAUAGCUCCAGUUUUCUCAUGAAAUGAGGCUGUUUUCUUUUUCUUAAUCUAGAGCCACAGUAGGAAAUACUUACAGUUUCUGGGUGAUACACUCCAACUGAGGAGCUCAGAAUGACAGUGCUUCCCCUGGGAAGAGAAAGAAGGUACAUACAGAUGAGCCACAUAAGAAGCCAGGAUGUGGACAGAAGUGGAAACUGCAGACCAUGAAAGUGAAUAAGAGGAGCUCAGGUUGACAUAAAUGGUGUCAGAAUUGGGAUGUGAAGAAAGAUCACGAUCAAAAGGAAUCAGUGGUUCUUGGAACCAGUGUGCAGUACCCCAGCGUGCAGCCCAGUCCGUGAGCCGUGGGAGCUCUCCACUUCCAAGACUCGCCUUUUCUGCCCUGAUUUAAGAAAAUUUUCUCUCUUGAACUAUCUAUGGUUUCCAGCAAUUUGGUAAAGUAUACUUUUGUGAACAAAGACGGAUAUAUUUGCUUUUUCUCCCUACUAGAUUCCUCCAAAAUUUAGAAACUAUC